AGCAGGUGCGUCCUCCACCUGGAGCUUGUCAAAGACAGUCAGGAAGAACUUAAAGAGGAGUUGGUUACCUGAGGCAGAUGCCAGAUUAUUUUGCUCACGACUGAAAGUUGCAUUCUCUUGUUGAACUCUCCUCAGGACUCCCUCUGUGAAUCUCCUCACUGCUCCCCUGGCCGUCUUCCUGGAACCACCUACCUGGUUUUCCCAUCGCUCACUCACCUGCCUGUCCACCUUCCAACUUUCACCACUCCAACCUGGAAAUGGGACAAAGAGACAAUCGCCAACAAACCCCAUUCACCAAUCCCCUGUCAACCUUAGCUACUGUGGAUAAACUCACCUCCUUCUGGAACACCAUCUUGUCCUCUUGCUAUCCUGGACUGCAGCCGUUAACCUGGAAGAAUCAUCUCAUAGGAAUACAUUUACCAAUAAACCUUUCAAACUAUCUCUUGGUGUCCAUGACUGUUGCCUGCACUAGAGACUCUCUCCUUAACAAACAUGACACAGAAUAAGUAAAGACAUAUUUCUGCUGCCUACUAAAGAUUUGUCUUCUAUUAAUUGGCAGAAAUUCAAUGUUGU